rnacentral:rRNA from 1 species
GACUGACUGCUCGAUACUGACACUGAGGUGCGAAAGCGUGGGGAGCAAACGGGAUUAGAUACCCCGGUAGUCCACGCCGUAAACGAUGUCUACUAGCCGUUGGAGGACUUGAUCCUUUAGUGGCGCAGCUAACGCGAUAAGUAGACCGCCUGGGGAGUACGGUCGCAAGAUUAAAACUCAAAUGAAUUGACGGGGGCCCGCACAAGCGGUGGAGCAUGUGGUUUAAUUCGAAGCAACGCGAAGAACCUUACCUACUCUUGACAUCCAGUGAACUUUUGAGAGAUCAAUUGGUGCCUUCGGGAACACUGAGACAGGUGCUGCAUGGCUGUCGUCAGCUCGUGUUGUGAAAUGUUGGGUUAAGUCCCGUAACGAGCGCAACCCUUGUCCUUAGUUACCAUCAUUAAGUUGGGGACUCUAAGGAGACUGCCGGUGACAAACCGGAGGAAGGCGGGGACGACGUCAAGUCAUCAUGGCCCUUACGAGUAGGGCUACACACGUGCUACAAUGGCAUGUACAAAGGGUUGCCAAGCCGCGAGGUGGAGCUAAUCCCAUAAAGCAUGUCGUAGUCCGGAUUGGAGUCUGCAACUCGACUCCAUGAAGUCGGAAUCGCUAGUAAUCGUGAAUCAGAAUGUCACGGUGAAUACGUUCCCGGGCCUUGUACACACCGCCCGUCACACCAUGGGAGUGGGUUGCUCCAGAAGUAGAUAGCUUAACCUUCGGGAGGGCGUUUACCACGGAGUGAUUCAUGACUGGGGUGAAGUCGUAACAAGGUAGCCGUA